rnacentral:misc_RNA from 1 species
AACGCAUAUUGCGCUCUUUGGUAUUCCGAAGAGCAUGCUUGUUUGAGUAUCAGUAAACACCUCAAAGACAUUUCUGAUUUAUUUUCUGGAAUGGCUUUGGACUUGAGCAAUCCCAACACCAGUCGUUUACGAUCGGCGGAGGGUUGCUUGAAAUGCAGGUGCAGCUGGACAUUCUCCUGAGCUAUAAGCAUAUCUAUUUAGUCCCGUCAAACGGAUUAUUACUUUUGCUGCAGCUAACAUAAAGGGAGUCUGACCGUAUUGGCUGACUGAUGCAGGAUUUCACAGGGGUUGGAAACGACUCUUGUAAAACUCGAUCUCAAAUCAAGUAAGACUACCCGCUGAACUUAA